AAGACUAUACUUUCAGGGAUCAUUUCUACAGUUCAUUAUUUAUAUUUUUAAACACGCAUCAAAUAAUAAGAAAAGCUGGUGAAAAUAAUUAUGGUAAAAGCAGU
ensembl:snoRNA U3 Small nucleolar RNA U3